UCACAAUUUAACAAGAUGUGUUAGUGAAACACAAUGCCCCCGAUAAUGGCCAAUUCCGAAGAUGGCCAAAGUCUCAAUAUACCUGGCGAAUUGCCAAUACGAAGCUAAAGUGACCAGGGUUAAAAUGUAAAUAUGCUAAAAGAGUAUUUUAUAGAAUUUAAAUAAUUUCAUUGUUAUUAAAAUCUGUAUUAAUAUACGGAGGUGACCAUUCGACAUUGAUCCAGUGCCUUUUUAUGGGAUUCGAAACUGUGACUGUGAGAUGUAUGAAAGUUUGACUUCUAGGCGGGCAAUUCUACUUUCACUUUAAAUGGUAAGUUGAAAAGAGCAUGCUGCAUCUUUGAUGUAAAAUAUCUCGAAAAGGAAUCAAGGACCCUAUUGCAAAUUUGGCCUUGUUGGAAAGGAUGGCAGGUGCCUGAGUGUAUCCCGACCCAUUUCCAGGCUAGUAUCAGAUGUCAUGAUGGACCUUUAAAAUCUUUCACAUGUGUACUUUCAAGAACCAUAUACAUUAUUUUUGAAAAUUGGUUGCCAUGGUAAUAAAAUCUGAAAAUUAAAACAUGGGCUUCUGAA